rnacentral:rRNA from 1 species
ACACAUGCAGUCGAGCGGUAGAGAGAAGCUUGCUUCUCUUGAGAGCGGCGGACGGGUGAGUAAUGCCUAGGAAUCUGCCUGGUAGUGGGGGAUAACGUUCGGAAACGGACGCUAAUACCGCAUACGUCCUACGGGAGAAAGCAGGGGACCUUCGGGCCUUGCGCUAUCAGAUGAGCCUAGGUCGGAUUAGCUAGUUGGUGAGGUAAUGGCUCACCAAGGCGACGAUCCGUAACUGGUCUGAGAGGAUGAUCAGUCACACUGGAACUGAGACACGGUCCAGACUCCUACGGGAGGCAGCAGUGGGGAAUAUUGGACAAUGGGCGAAAGCCUGAUCCAGCCAUGCCGCGUGUGUGAAGAAGGUCUUCGGAUUGUAAAGCACUUUAAGUUGGGAGGAAGGGCANUAANNUAAUACUUUGCUGUUUUGACGUUACCGACAGAAUAAGCACCGGCUAACUCUGUGCCAGCAGCCGCGGUAAUACAGAGGGUGCAAGCGUUAAUCGGAAUUACUGGGCGUAAAGCGCGCGUAGGUGGUUUGUUAAGUUGGAUGUGAAAUCCCCGGGCUCAACCUGGGAACUGCAUUCAAAACUGACUGACUAGAGUAUGGUAGAGGGUGGUGGAAUUUCCUGUGUAGCGGUGAAAUGCGUAGAUAUAGGAAGGAACACCAGUGGCGAAGGCGACCACCUGGACUAAUACUGACACUGAGGUGCGAAAGCGUGGGGAGCAAACAGGAUUAGAUACCCUGGUAGUCCACGCCGUAAACGAUGUCAACUAGCCGUUGGAAGCCUUGAGCUUUUAGUGGCGCAGCU